UCUGCUUUACUCACUAAACAACAGUUGUCUUGCAGCAAGUCACUUUACUCUCUUUCAACUCCCAAGUUCCAUCCCAACCCUAACCAAAAAAAGAAUAAAAAUAUAUACAUAUUUGUUUUGUGCCACUCUUUAGUCUCACCAAAAGAAGAAAUUUUGUCUUCUUAUUUUCUCCAAGAACAAGAAAAAGAAGAGGAGGAAGAAGCAUGGAUUCUUUGUUAUGUUACUGUAGAAAUGAAGAAUAAGAAAAGGGAAUUAGACCAACAUUGUUAUAAGUGUUUCCAAUGGGGAAAGGAGAGGAAGAACAGCCAAUACCUAGUACUGCAUUGGAUGCACAAAGUACAAACCAAAAUGCAGAGGAUAGGUGUUGUUGUAGGUUCAAAGGGUUGGUGAGUUUUAAAUGUGUAUUUGUAUUGAUGCUUGGCUUGGGAGUCUUGAUUUCUGCUGUUUUCUUGUUGCCAUUCUUCAAGAAGGGAGAUCUGGGGGAUCUGGAUCUUGACAACAAGUAUAAAGGUCAUGAUAUAGUUGCCAGUUUCAUGCUUGAGAAGCCAGUUUCGUUUGUCAAUGAUAACAUUUUGCAACUUGCAGAUGAUAUAUUUGAUGAAAUAAGUGUUUCCCAUACUAAAGUGGAAAUAAUAUCAUUAGAAAAUAUAUCUGGAACGAACAUCACAGAGGUCAUCUUUGCAGUUGACUCUGAAGUGAAUAAUGGGAGGGUUUCUCUAACUGCUCUGAGUUUAGUCCGGUCGGAAUUUGAAGCUGUAAUUACUGGCCAAUCAGCUCUGCACUUGACAGCAACUUUGUUUGGCGAUCCUUUUUCCUUUGAUGUUCUGAAAUUCAGAGGUGGGAUUACAGUGAGCCCCAAACAGAGUGGAUUCCUCAUGCAGCAAUUCCAGAUGCUUUUCAACUUCACGUUGAACUUUUCAAUUGAUGAAAUUCAAGAUAAUUUUCAUGAACUAAAAAGCCAGCUCAAAUCUGGAUUACAUCUUUCAUCAUAUGAGAACUUGUAUAUGAGUUUGACUAAUACAAGAGGGUCGACAGUGGAUCCUCCCACUAUUGUUCAGUGUAAAGUCCUUUUUGCAGUUGGGUUAAAUCCCUCCAGUUCAAGGUUGAAGCAGUUGGCUCAGACAAUUGGUUCUCAUUCUGAAAACCUUGGCCUCAAUAACACCGUAUUUGGAAGGGUUAAACAAGUUAGCCUGUCCUCUGAUUUACCGCAUUCUCGAGGUGGUGAUGGGGGUAGCCCCUCACCUUCUCCAGCUCCACUACCUCAUCAUCACCACCACUACCAUCAUCGUACAAACUUUGCUCCUGCAAUAUCACCUGCUCCAAAGGUUGGGAAAGGUGGAUCUAUUAGCAGGCAAGUUUCACCUAUAUCCGCACCAAAGCCAGCAUCUGCAACAGUACUUCCACCUUCCCCUGCACCUGCACCUGCACCUGCACAACACAAGGGACAUGAGGCCCAGCCUCCUUGUCAUUUUGGGAGAUUUCCAAGGAAGGAGAAUAGUCACUCGCAUAUAGCUCCUGCUCGAGCACCAGUCCCUGCACCUCAUAAUACUCCCUCGCGGCACCAGCAAGUACACGCUCCAACUCCUACUCCACAUGAAAUCACUGCAUCAAGUCCAUUGCCCUAUGUAGUAUAUGCUCAUGUUCAUCCUCCUUCAAGGAGUAAUUCUGUUGCACAGCCUCCUAACAGAUUUACGUCAGCUUCACCCUUGCCAUUUUCCUCUUCUGAAGGAAUUCUUUCAUCAAAUUCUGGGCUUUCCCGCUGUUCCUACUUGUACUACUUCCAUAGCAGCAGGAUGAGGGGAAAUUAUUUUUUGGUAACAAAACUUGCCUCCAGCAUUGUGUAAGUUCCACGUCAUUCCAUCUGGGCAAAGAAACAAACUUGAGGAGUUUGCAGAGAGGAGAGCAAUGCCAAAAGGGCAUCUCUCAUGCUUGCAUGAAUGCGUGUUAUUGUUGUAUUCUUGUAAAUAUUUUUAUAAAGAU